rnacentral:tRNA from 1 species
UCUCUGGUGGCUUAGAGGUUAAAGUGUCUGCCUGCAAUGCGGAAGACCUGGGUUCGAUUCCUGGAUUGGGAA